AGCUUCCGGGCUAAUUUGAUCAAGAUGAGUAAAAGCAAAACCAUCUGGUUUCCUUCGACAGCUGAUUCCAGAAUCGCUAUUGUAAGAGACCUGUCUUCCAGGCAUCAAGCUUCCAGUGAAUCACAUCAAAGGCCUCCCUGCCAGCGCUGGCCCCUUCCAGCUGGGGGAAAAUGGGCUCAUUAGAAGCAGGAAGAGUACAUUGUUUACAUUAGGCGGUGCUGAUUUACAAGCCGGAGCCUCCAUUCCCCUGCUCACCUCGGCGCUGCCGGCUGGGGAGAGCCCUCCACUUGCCUGGAAAGGCUCCUUUGAAGCCUCCCUUGCAGCUAGGCGGGCCAUGUGACUAGUUCUGGCCAAUAGGCUUUGAGAGGAAGUGAUGUACGUCACCGCGCUAACGGGGUCGACGGCCGGAACGGUCCGCCAUCUUUGUUUUUGCCGCUGCCACGGAGACCUCGGAGGCGAAGGCUGGGGGCGGCGGCGGGCCGUGCGACCCAGGCCUGACCUGGUGCUGUUCCUUAGACCGCUGUGCACCGAGAGCCUCGAGUGGCUCAGGGGCUUCUAGAAGACCAUACCGCCAAGGCCCCGGGGGAGCUGCCCGGCCAGGCUGAUAACUUUUGAUAAAGGUAGAUAUCUAUGUAACUACCACCUGAUUAAGAUGUAGAACAUUUCCAUCUCCCCAGAAAGUUUCCUGCUGCUGGGCAACUACUGUUCUGAUUCCUAGCACUGUUGAUUAGUUUUACCUGUUCUACUAUAUGGUAUAAUCAAAGGCCCAUAAAUCCUACAAUAUAUACUCCUUUUUAUCUGGCUUCUUUUACUCAAUGUGAGAUAAUCAUGAAUGGCAUUUUAAGAAAAUUCUUGUUAAAUACUUUGAGUAUCUAGCUUCCGAGAUGUGACACGGAGUUGGGAAGAGGAUUCCUUCUGUGUCUGCAUGGAAUCCACGCAGAGUCCCUCCCACCCCCAAUAAGUUCUGGACCUCAGCACAGGGUGUUGUAAUAACUCCCAUUUCUCUGCCUGACGUUGUGCUGCAGCCAGAGAGCUCCACUGACACGCCCCUGCUUUAAGAACCUCACAGGUUGGGGUGUGGAGAGAGAAGUAGGAGGGAAUAAGGUUACUGAGGACCCCACAGCAUCACAAGUGCUAUCACAGAGAUUCUCUCCUGGGUCCUGUGACACAGAUGCACCAGGCACCAUCCCGGCCCCGAGGAGCUCCAGGCUCACAGAGCUAAGACAUUGCGUUUAAAAAGCAAGAGCUCUGGGCUUGCUUUUUGGAGUCAGUGGAGCUGGUCUUGCUAUUAGGACAGUAAAUACUGAGCAUCAUCCAAAGGGGAAAACUAGAGGAAGGAUCUGGGGUGACGAUCUUCUACUUACAUGGAGCACAGAGACAACUCAGACUUGGGAGGAACCGUGUCUGUCAGAGGAGAGUAUUAUCUCCACCACAUCCAGUGUCGGCUUAUAAACCCCACCAACAGGGAGCUCACUACCUCUUGCGGUACUCUGCAUCGUCAUUGAGCACCUGGACCCCAAACAGUCCCAGACUUCAAAUCUGAGGUUGUCCUGAGCUAGAAGAUGAUCGCAGAGUCUUGGCUGGUUAACAAUAAAGAUAGAGGAACAAUGUGCUUCCCCAAAGGACAGGCAUGCUUAUGAUGGAAAAAGGAAGUGUUCAUGAGGGCCGUGAUGCAGCUUCCCAGAGGCUGAUCUUGUAAUCACACCUCCUGGAUGUCCAGAGUAGCCUCUAGUGCUGUACGAGGAUGAAAGGAAGGCAAGACACCUCUUGAAGGACAGGGGAAUGCUUGGCCAAGGGUCAGGGUCAGGACCAAAUGGGGGACUGGAAGAUGGACAAUAAAACAUGAGGAGUAAGUAGAAUUCCACCCAGGGAUUUUGCUAGAACCUGGUGUGUGGCUGACUUGGAUUUGGCAUAGAGGCCACUUGGCACCAACACACCUUCUUCAGGCACAUCCUUUAUGGAGCUCCUACCCAUGCCCCUUACUGCCAUCUGGGUGUCUCCCGGUGCCAUAUUCCCAGCAGGAGUCACAAGGGCUUCCCACAGAAGGUACCCAGGGGCCCGGUCCAUGCACGAUCACUCCUAUCCCCAUUUCCCAACUCUAGCUCAUUCUCCCUCUAUCUCAUUCCCUCCCUCCCCCUUCUCUCUUCCCUCCUUCUCUGUUCCCUUUUCUCUUUUUUUUCCCCAAUGUCUUGUGAGUCCUUACUUUUUCUCUCCGCAGUGAUCUGUCCUUUCCUUCUGCCUGUGUUCAUUUUCUAUCAUCGCAAUGAAUAUGAAGCAAUGCCUCCCAACAGCCAGGUGCCAGAGGUACAGAGAUGAAAAAGGGUCCCCCAAAGGUGGAUCUGCUUGCAGGGGAGAUAGACUAAUGCUCUGAGGUUAGAAGGAAGCUCAAGGUGCGGUGGGAGUGCUGAGGAGGGGGUGGUUAUUAAAUCAGUGGAUCCUGGGAAGGUGGUAGGGAGAGUUACAAAGAGGAAUGGAUGGCUGGGAUGAGCACUGGCCAAUGACAGUUCACGCUUGGAUGUGGGCCUUCCAGGGAAAAGGAGCAGCAUGUGCCAGAAGCUUAGAGACAGGGAGAGCAUGGUGAGGUCCAUGCGCCUGGGUCUCAGGGAGGUGGACUUGGUGGGAAGUAACUGAUUAUGGACGCUCGUUCCAUACUCUGAGCAAAUGCCUCUGCGGAGGUUCAGUCUCCUGGCCAGGAGGAAUUUGGGGGAGAGCCACCCACCUUCAAUUCCCAGUUGGAGGGAGCAGAUGAGCUAUGAGCAGACAGGAAAUAGGGGCUGGGUAGUGGGCUACCUGGAGCUCACGCUUGAGCCCUUGUUCACCUUGACCUGUCCUGCUGCCCUGGGGACUGUCGGCUGCGGGGAGUAAGGGAGGCAGAGGGAGUUUCGAGGCAGAGGGGCUGUGGGGAGGAAGGGAGGCAGAGGGAAGUAGUAGUUUGAGCGACCUUUUAGCUGCUGAGACUUCACUGGGCCUGUCUGCUUGCCCAUUGGUUAUUCUGGGUAAGGUAGGGGCAGAUUUUCCAGGGGGCGAGGGAAGAAAUUACCUCUCUAAAAAGGAAGACGGUAACUCCUUGUGCCUCAAGCUGGAUGCACAACCGGGCUUCUGGCAGCCCUGAGUGGGCCCCAUGGGGCCUUGCCCAGCCCCGGAGCUUUCAUGAUGAAAUAAUUGGCAGCUCAUUGCAGCCCAGGCUGGGGCCCAACCAGGCCGCAUUGAGGUCUGUGGCUCCCGAUGAAGCAGGGCCCAUGCAGAGAUCCUUAAUGAGUCACAGAAGGGCUUCCCCAGGGGCCCAGGCCGCUGGGACAAGGUCACUACAACAGACGUGGAACCCCGUGGGCCCCUUCCCCACUGUGCAUCCAUGAGGGGCUCCCACCGUCGGGUGCCACAAAGGCCAGUCUUCCCACAAUGUCCUUGGACUGUACCCACAUGGCCAACUGUGCAAAUCUCAGCUCAGCCUUGCAGCCCGGAGCUGAGCCAGAGGCCUCUUGACUCAUUGCUGUAGCUGUUCUGGAACUUGGCACAGUUACUAGUAUUCCUCAAAGUCAUAAUUACCACCACUUAGCCUGGGUUAGUGAUCUGGAGCAGGGAGCAGCCCAGCCCGCAUUGCCUCCUGCUGCCAGCAGACCAACUACUGGUGAUAGCUUCGUGGUUCAUAAUAAUAAUAAUGAUGAUAAUAGCUAUCAUUUAUUGGACACUCGCUGUGGACCUGGCUCGGGGCUAGGUGUUUUACAUGCGGAACAGAGCCUGCUCCUGUUCCUCCCCCAAUUUUCUCCACCCCCCACCCCCCACUCCGGGUCUGCUUCAUAACCGUUGAUUUGCAUGGCAGCUUUUAUUUUAGAGCAGGGGGGGAGAGGGUGUUCUGAGGACGAGGUUGGAGUGGAUGAGAUGCAUUGUUUCCCAUCUGGCCUCUCAUGUGGUCUGGGUUUGAGCAGUUUGGUCAGCAGAAGGCCAGGAACGGACAGAAUGCUUUUUUUUUUUUUUUUUUCCAUGAGACACCUGGUAAGAUUCUGGACAAGAAAUCCUGGACAGAAAUCCUGGGAGACUUUGUGAGGCUUUAGGCAAAGCAAAGCUGCUUUGGAGGGCAGCCCUUACCCAGUUCUGCUGGGACCCCAAAGGCUGGUGGCUUUGGAAACAGCCAGCUGUUGAUGGCCACCUUGUGAAGGGUGAGGCAGGGGUGAAGCUUCCUGCAACAGGUUGUGUUCUCCAGAGGCAGAUGCUGAUGGUAAGACGUUCUGGGGACCAGCGCCUACAAAGGUGAGGGGGCGCGUGCAGGAUUGGGUGGAGGAAGAAGCUCAGCUACCACGCAAGCCCAACAAGGUCUCGGCCAGCCAGAUGAGGAGUUCUGAAAUGAGUUUGUCCCUCAGUGUCUGCACUUGGCAGGAGUGCACAGACUCACACCCCUACCUCACCAUCACUGGUCACAGGCUGUCCAGAAAGGACAGCCAAGGGUGGAGCUUCUGAGGCAGAUCUUGAAGGAGCUGAGAACUGUGGUGGCUAUAGAUUCCUCCCUAUAGCUGGGCUUCUCCAAGUAGCUUCAUGGUGGAGGGUAGAGGGGUGUGUGGGCCUGAAACAAGGGGGAGAGGAGGAACAAAUGGGGAGGCCAGCUGUCCGGUUUUGUGAAGAUGUGUGAGUGCCUUUGGCAACUCCUACAGAAACCGGGUGGUGCUUUGGGGAGGCUAAUUUCCAUCAGUCAAGUGGCCUGGAGCCACCAUAAUUUGGUCAUGAGAAGUCAGUGUGACUUUAUUUUCUGGUCAAAGGCUGGUGAGAUUACACAUAUGUGUUCUUUAAAUUUCCCACAAUAACCCCACUUAAUAGAUGGGAAGACAGAGUUCUGAGGGCCAAGUAGCUCGGGUGUUCAGGUCACCCCCGAACACAGGCCAGGCUGAUUUGGAAGCUCAAGUCUUUCCCCUCAUUGCUGCCGGGGAUAGGGGAGCCUCAGGCGAACUGCCUCUGGGAGGUCCUCAUUGCGUUUGGCUCCAGUUCAAAGAAUGGAGAGAGCAGGACCCUCUUAGCUUGCCAGGCCUGCCAUCACAGAGCACCACAAGCAGGGUAUCUCGAAACAACAGAAAUUUAUCGUCUCAGUUCUGGAGCUAGAGGGCCAAACUCAAGGUGCAGGAUGGUUAGCGCUUGGAGGAGAAUUUGGUCCAUGCUCUUCUGCUUCAGGUAGGUAGUGCCAGGUGCUCCUUGGCCAAUAGAUACAUCAUUUCCAUCCUUGGACGGAUGUCGGAUGCCCGCCUAUGGGGACACCAGUCAUGUUGGAUUAAGGACCUGUCCUCCACAAAGACCUCAACUGAUUACAUCUGCCACCACCUUCUUGGCAGAUAAGGCUACACUCUGAGGUAUCGGUGUUCUAGGACUUUAAUAUAUCUUUUUGGGGCCACGAUUUAACCCAGAAUAGACUUAGAAGACCCUAUGUGCCAUCUACCCUCCCUGAGCCCACCCACCAAUUCUUCUACUGCCUUGGAUUCAUUGUGCCAGGACAAUGAAGCUAAGCUCUGGGGUUCAGCUGCAGGGAGGGCAACAUGCUGGACCCCUCCUUGCCAUCGAUGGAGGGUCCAUUGUCUCUCCCCAAACCAAGGGUGUUUAUGGCAUCAUAAAGCAUCAUAGCAAGGUCUCACCACAGCGACCCGAGUCCCGGGACAGCAGGGACUAACGUGACCUCACGCUUAACCACUGUCCCCUACGGUGCUUGGCACACAGCAGAGUCUGAGAACAGGAAGGGACUCUGGAGGAACUGACCUGCUGCGUAAGGUGCAGCACGGCGGUCUGGCAGGAUGGGGCCCUCAAUCAAUGUUUGCUGAACGGUGAAUGAAUGGAUGGAUCCCAAGGACAGGGUUACCGUGGAGCUCCCAAGCAUUUAUCUUGAAUCUGGAAAAUGCAAGAAAAAUUGGGCCAUC